AUAUAUGUGUUGAGUCGAUACAACCCUAGACGCCUCAGUACGAAGUGCAACCAUUCCAUGAGCUCUGGUGUAAUUACGUCAAUCGUCCGCUAACCUUGAUUCUUCUCAAACGAUGAAAUGCCACUUUUGAAAUAACUUCCCGGUCGGAAGUCACUGGACUCCUCAACAUCCAUCGCAAUCUCUCAAACUGGAAGAAACAAUACUUUUUCGAGGAUCUUUUCAUCAAUACCGAUAACACGCCUUUUACUACGCUCGAUCCAUCCUAUGGGUCAUAGUUUGUGAUGUAUUCUUCCACUAAUGCCACAUUAAUUGAAGGCAAACUAUCUGACCUUUGUAAAAAUUGAAACAUUUGCACGUUUCAAAAAUCUCGUAUUCUCCUUGGCAUCCAGCAAAUCUCUAGCUUCAUAGGCUCCAUAUUGGUAACGAUUACUACGGAUGGUGGUCCUAAAUUACGUUUAGCUUUCACAUUUCGGCCACUUUCUUCUUUGUCCGUAGCUCUCUUUGUACUCUCCAUCGCCAUAACGCACACUCUUUCAAGCUCUAACUGUCAAUACUAUGCUCCAG
rnacentral:lncRNA from 1 species